rnacentral:rRNA from 1 species
AUGGUGGGGCGAGGGAGUUAUGCUUGCUUGUAUGUUGAUGACAUAUUGAUUUUCGAAACAAAUCUGAAUGUUAUUAAGGAGGUCAAGGAUUUCCUAUCUCGCUGUUUUGAGAUGAAGGAUUUAGGAGUGGCUGAUGUCAUUCUGAACGUCAAGUUGUUGAGAGAUGAUGAUGGUGGGAUUACAUUGCUUCAAUCUCACUUUGUGGAAAAGAUCUUGAGUCGCUUUGGCUAUAGUGACUGCAAGCCCUCUCCAACACCAUAUGAUGCUAGCGUGCUGCUUCAAAAGAAUCGAAGAAUUGCUAGAGAUCAAUUGAAGUAUUCUCAGAUCAUUGGCUCGCUUAUGUACUUAGCCAGUGCUACAAGACCUGACAUCUCUUUUGCUGUUAGCAAGCUGAGCCGGUUUGUCUCAAAACCAGGAGAUGUGCAUUGGAAAGCUCUAGAGAGAGUUUUGCGUUAUUUGAAAGGCACUGCGAAUUAUGGAAUUCACUACACUGGGCACCAAAGGUGCUUGAAGGGUAUAGUGACUCAAACUGGAUCUCAUAUGCUGAUGAGAUAA